GCCCUUUGUGGUGUAUUGGUAGCACGCGCUCCGGUAUGGGUGAAACGCGGGUUCAACUCCCGCCUGAGGUA